rnacentral:rRNA from 1 species
AGUCGAACGACCCGGACUAUGGCGGGGAGUGGCAGACUGCUCAGUAACACGUAGCUAACCUACCCUCGGGACGGGGAUAACUCCGGGAAACUGGGGCUAAUACCCGAUAGGUGUGGAUUCCUGGAAUGGUGCCAUGCCUAAAUGUAAGCGCAUCCAUGUUUUGUGUGCACGCCCGAGGAUGGGGCUGCGGCCGAUCAGGCAGUUGGUGAGGUAACGGCUCACCAAACCUUUGACCGGUACGGGCCAUGAGAGUGGUAGCCCGGAGAUGGGCACUGAGACAAGGGCCCAGGCCCUACGGGGCGCAGCAGGCGCGAAACCUCCACAAUUCACGCAAGUGAGAUGGGGUUACCUCGAGUGCCGUCUGAAGAAGGCGGCUUUUCCAUGGUGUAACAAGCCGUGGGAAUAAGGGGGGGGCAAGACUGGUGUCAGCCGCCGCGGUAACACCAGCCCCCCGAGUGGUGGGGAUGAUUAUUUGGCCUAAAGCGUCCGUAGCCGGCUUUGUAAAUCUCUCGUUAAAUCCAGCGUCCUAAGCGUUGGGCUGCGAGAGACACUGCAGAGCUAGAGGGUGGGAGAGGUCAGCGGUAUUCCUGGGGUAGGGGCGAAAUCCAUUGAUCCCAGGAGGACCACCAGUGGCGAAGGCUGCUGUCCAGAACACGCCUGACGGUCAGGGACGAAAGCUGGGGUAGCGAAUCGGAUUAGAUACCCGAGUAGUCCCAGCCGUAAACGAU